UUAUUCCUAUUCUCUCUUGCUUCUUUAAGACCAAGACUUUGGUGAGGAUUUAUUAGUUUUCCAAGUAAGACAUCCAAAUGUACUGUGACCUGGUAUUUACAACAGGUGCUGAUGAGGGGUAGGACAGGUUAAAGAACUCUUGGAAACUGAAUAUUUGAGUUGGAGUAUUGGUGAUACUAUCAUUUUUCCUAAUUGCUUUAACUCAUUUUGAGUUGAAACUAAUUUUGUAAAAUACUUUAUUAUCUUUCGUAAAUUAAGUCAAUGUCAUAGUGAUGUGUGUGUGUGUGUGUGAGUGUGUGUGUUUUUUUUUUUUUUUUUUUUUUUUUUAGUGUGUGUGUUUUUAAUAAAUGCCUCUAGAUCUCCGUAGGAAGAGAGACAAACAAACAAUUGCCUUGUAGGUUACUGAAAACCAGUUCUCAUCAUUCAGAAUAGCUUGUGGCUGCUGACAUCAUACAUGCCAUGGGCACAGACUAAAGAGAAAAAGAAGAAUAGUGGAGAGAUUAUUAAUGUAGGGACAUACCUUCUGAUAAUUCCUCAAGAAAGAAGGAAGCCUUUGCUUCAAUGUUCUGUAAACCUCUUUAUCAAUGGGAAGUUUGGUGCUAAUAAAAACCAAGCUUUCAGAUUUCCUGAGUCUCAUUCACACAGUUUGGAGACAUCAGACUCUUUCCAAAAAUACUCUCUACUCUGUGGCUGUGGGUUUACCUACAUUCGAGAAGGCUGGCUCAGAUUGUGAAAAUAGAGUUCGAGGGUUUGGACCUCCCUGGUGGCACAGUGGUUAAGAAUCCGCCUGCCAAUGCAGGGGUCACGGGUUUGAGCCCUGGUCUGGGAAGAUCCCACAUGCCACGGAGCAACUAAGCCUGUGCGCCACAACUACUGAGCCUGCACUCUAGAGCCCAUGUGCCACAACUGCUGAAGCGCGGGCGCCUGGAUCCCGUGCUCUGCAAGGGGAGAAGCCACCGUAAUGAGAAGCCUGUGCACGGCAACGAAGAGUAGCCCCCACUCGCCGCAACUAGAGAAAGCCCGCGCGCAGCAGCGAAGACCCAAUGCAACCAAAAAUAAA